GACGAACGCUGGCGGCGUGCUUAACACAUGCAAGUCGAACGGCAAGGCCCUGCUUUUGUGGGGUGCUCGAGUGGCGAACGGGUGAGUAACACGUGAGUAACCUGCCCUUGACUUUGGGAUAACUUCAGGAAACUGGGGCUAAUACCGGAUAGGAGCUCCCGCUGCAUGGUGGGCGUUGGAAAGUUUCGGCGGUUGGGGAUGGACUCGCGGCUUAUCAGCUUGUUGGUGGGGUAGUGGCUUACCAAGGCUUGGACGGGUAGCCGGCCUGAGAGGGUGAACGGCGACAUGGGGACUGAGAGACGGCCCAGACGCGUACGGGGGGCAGUGGGGGGGAAUAUGGAACAAUGGGCGGAAGCGUGAUGCAGCAACGCCGCGUGCGGGAUGACGGCCUUCGGGUUGAGAACCGCUGUCGCCUGUGACGAAGCGGGAGUGACGGUAAUGGGAAAAGAAGCACCGGCUAACUACGUG
rnacentral:rRNA from 1 species